rnacentral:rRNA from 1 species
AUUGAACGCUGGCGGCAGGCUUAACACAUGCAAGUCGAGCGGUAACAGAGAGAAGCUUGCUUCUCUGCUGACGAGCGGCGGACGGGUGAGUAAUGCCUAGGAAUCUUCCUAGUAGUGGGGGAUAACUUGCCGAAGGGUAAGCUAAUACCGCAUACGUCCUACGGGAGAAAGGAGGGGACCUUCGGGCCUUUCGCUAUUAGAUGAGCCUAGGUCAGAUUAGUUAGUUGUUGAGGUAAUGGCUCACCAAGACCGCGAUCCGUAACUGGUCUGAGAGGAUGAUCAGUCACACUGGAACUGAGACACGGUCCAGACUCCUACGGGAGGCAGCAGUGGGGAAUAUUGGACAAUGGGGGGAACCCUGAUCCAGCCAUGCCGCGUGUGUGAAGAAGGUCUUAGGAUUGUAAAGCACUUUAAGUUGGGAGGAAGAGCAGUUAACUAAUAUUUGACUGUUUUGACGUUACCGACAGAAUAAGCACCGGCUAACUUCGUGCCAGCAGCCGCAGUAA